ensembl:snRNA U5 U5 spliceosomal RNA
AUACUUUGGUUUCUCUUCAGAUCAUAUACAUCUUUUACCUUUUAUUAAAGAUUUCCAGGGAGGGGAACUAGUCUGAAUCUUAACCCAAUUUUUAGGCCUUGCAAUAUAAUUUAGGGCAAGG